UACGGGGGGAGCAAGCGUUGUUCGGAUUUACUGGGCGUAAAGGGCGCGUAGGCGGUCAGCACAAGUCAGUUGUGAAAUCUCCGGGCUUAACUCGGAAAGGUCAACUGAUACUGUGCGACUAGAGUGCAGAAGGGGCAACUGGAAUUCUCGGUGUAGCGGUGAAAUGCGUAGAUAUCGAGAGGAACACCUGCGGCGAAGGCGGGUUGCUGGGCUGACACUGACGCUGAUGCGCGAAAGCCAGGGGAGGCGAAACGGG
rnacentral:rRNA from 1 species